AGUCUUAUUCCAGUUGAGAAAUAAACACUAUUGAUUGGUGUCCAAAAUUGUUCGGUGUGGCUAACUUGUUGUCAUGCAGGUCAUGCUUCUAUCAUAGCAAAUGCAUUGCAGUGGUGAUAACAAGACCCAUAGUGCUU
rnacentral:snoRNA from 1 species